CCUGAGCGCUGGCGGCGUGGCUAAGACAUGCAAGUCGCACGGUGUAGCAAUACACAGUGGCGAACGGGUGAGUAAUGAAUCGCUAAUGUACCCCGGACUCUGGGAUAGCUAUCCGAAAGGGUAGGUAAUACCAGAUGAUAUAUCUUUAUCGCAUGAUAGAGAUCUCAAAGGUCCGCCGGUCUGGGAGCAGGCGAUUUCGUAUCAGCUAGNGGUGAGGUAACGGCUCACCAAGGCGACGACGCGUAGCCGGACUGAGAGGUUGGCCGGCCACAUUGGGACUGAGACACUGCCCAGACUCCUACGGGGGGCUGCAGUAACGAAUCUUCCGCAAUGCACGAAAGUGUGACGGA
rnacentral:rRNA from 1 species